UACGUAGGGUGCGAGCGUUGUCCGGAAUUAUUGGGCGUAAAGAGCUCGUAGGCGGUGUGUCACGUCGGCCGUGAAAACCUGCAGCUUAACUGUGGGCGUGCGGUCGAUACGGGCAUCACUGGAGUUCGGCAGGGGAGACUGGAAUUCCUGGUGUAGCGGUGAAAUGCGCAGAUAUCAGGAGGAACACCAGUGGCGAAGGCGGUGCUCUGGGCCGGAACUGACGCUGAGGAGCGAAAGCGUGGGGAGCAAACAGG
rnacentral:rRNA from 1 species